GACGAACGCUGGCGGCGUGCUUAACACAUGCAAGUCGAACGGUGAAGCGCCUUCCUUUUUGGUGGGUGUGGAUGAGUGGCGAACGGGUGAGUAACACGUGAGUAACCUGCCCCCUUCUUCUGGAUAACCGCAUGAAAGUGUGGCUAAUACGGGAUAUUCUGGGUCUGUCGCAUGAUGGGUCUGGGAAAGAUAUUGUUUCGGUGGGGGAUGGGCUCGCGGCCUAUCAGCUUGUUGGUGGGGUGAUGGCCUACCAAGGCGGUGACGGGUAGCCGGCCUGAGAGGGUGGACGGUCACACUGGGACUGAGACACGGCCCAGACUCCGACGGGAGGCAGCAGUGGGGAAUAUUGCACAAUGGGCGCAAGCCUGAUGCAGCGACGCCGCGUGAGGGAUGGAGGCCUGCGGGUUGUGAACCCCUUUCGCCAGUGAAGCAGGCCUGCCUCGUUUGUGGGUGGGUUGACGGUAGCUGGAGAAGAAGCGCCGGCUAACUACGUG
rnacentral:rRNA from 1 species